GUGCUCGUACGAGCAAAAUGAACCGGUUCACACUGGGAAAUUUUGUCACGACGUGUACGGAGUGUUCGAUCAAUAAUAGGGUAAAACAGUUAUUAAUUACCUGAAUAUAUAGGGUUUUUAAAGCAAACCCGGGGAACUGAAACAUCUAAGUACCCGGAGGAAAGGAAAUCAAUAGAUACUCCCUUAGUAGCGGCGAGCGAACGGGGACCAGCCGAGCUAUGAAUGUGACUAGAACCAUCUGGAAUGUUGGGCGAUAUGGGUGACAGCCCCGUAUAGGAAGCAUGAUUAGACGUAUUAAGUAGGGCGGAACACGUGAAAUUCUGUCUGAACAUCGGAGGACCACCUUCGAAGGCUAAGUACUCCUUACUGACCGAUAGCGAACCAGUACCGUGAGGGAAAGGUGAAAAGCACCCCGACAAGGGGAGUGAAACAGUUUCUGAAACCGGACGCCUACAAACAGUCGGAGGGGCAUAUGCCCUGACGGCGUACCUUUUGUAUAAUGGGUCAACGACUUGGUCUUACUAGCAAGCUUAAGCCGAUAGGUGUAGGCGCAGCGAAAGCGAGUCUUAAUAGGGCGAUUGAGUUAGUGGGAUCAGACCCGAAACCGAGUGAUCUAGGCAUGAGCAGGUUGAAGGUACAGUAACAUGUACUGGAGGACCGAACCCACAUCUGUUGAAAAAGAUCGGGAUGACUUGUGCCUAGGGGUGAAAGGCCAAUCAA
rnacentral:rRNA from 1 species